UGGCGUGAAAUACCUGAUUUUAGGUACGGUUGGACACUGUAUGUGGUGUUAAAGUCUCUAUACGUGCGGAGUUUUGGCAUAGCUUCUACGGCUUUUUCCCAUUUGAUCUGGUACUUUUGCAUUAGCAUGUCUUUUGCAAAAUUACUAAUAAACUUGGUACUAAGUCCAUCCGUACAUUUCGAGUUAAAUAGAGUAUCAAGUCCACUUUCAUUCAUAAUUGAUUUUAUAUUGUUGUACCACGUAUCCUUAUGAUUUCGUGAAAAACUACAGUCCCAUGCAUAUAUCCGCGAUGGUAAUCUUUCCGAGUGCAUAUUUACAAUACGACACCAAAGCUUUAUCAUCUGACAAUGAUUUCGGAUAGAGACUGGAAUCCAUGCCUUUUCACCUGUCAUUCCCGGUAUCGGUGUAAACUUUCCGACUCCUAAGAAAGACCGUAUAGCCCUAUUUUACAGUUUGUCUAGUCCUUCAUACGCUUUAAACCCCCAUACUCCAGCACAGUAGGUCAUAAUUGGGGCGACUGUACUUUCAAAAAGUUUAGUAUACGUAUCAUAAUCAAAUCCAUCUGUACUGUAAUAUUUCGAAACAAGGGAACCCAAAGCACGACUGCUACCAGUAAUCAACUCGUUUACACUGAUGUUGUAGUCUAAUGUUU
rnacentral:lncRNA from 1 species